AUGUACUGGCGCGUACACUGCGGUUCCUGCGCUCCGGGCUUCCCCGCCUGAAGCCCGCUCGCGACGAUUUCUGGC
rnacentral:sRNA from 1 species